rnacentral:lncRNA from 1 species
UGUACGGCCCGCCCAUAGCUCCUUCGACGGCGCCGCCUAGGAACGCGGAGAAAAUAUGACAAAGGAACGGCCAAAAAUAAAAAGAAAGACCUUUCUUUUGAAAAAACAAACAAAAAAAAGAAAUGCAACACGAGGACUUCCCAGGAGGUCACCCAUCCUAGUACUACUCUCGCCCAAGCAUGCUUAACUUCGGAGUUCUGAUGGGAUCCGGUGCUUUAGUGUUGGUAUGAUCGCAUCCGACAUACCGUGCGUUCUCCUCCCCUUUAUGCCCGCGCCUCCGUGUACGGCCCGCCCAUAGCUCCUUCGACGGCGCCGCCUAGGAACGCGGAGAAAAUAUGACAAAGGAACGGCCAAAAAUAAAAAGAAAGACCUUUCUUUUGAAAAAACAAACAAAAAAAAGGAAUGCAACACGAGGACUUCCCAGGAGGUCACCCAUCCUAGUACUACUCUCGCCCAAGCACGCUUAACUUCGGAGUUCUGAUGGGAUCCGGUGCUUUAGUGCUGGUAUGAUCGCAUCCGACAUACCGUGCGUUCUCCUCCCCUUUAUGCCCGCGCCUCCGUGUACGGCCCGCCCAUAGCUCCUUCGACGGCGCCGCCUAGGAACGCGGAGAAAAUAUGACAAAGGAACGGCCAAAAAUAAAAAGAAAGACCUUUCUUUUGAAAAAACAAACAAAAAAAAGGAAUGCAACACGAGGACUUCCCAGGAGGUCACCCAUCCUAGUACUACUCUCGCCCAAGCACGCUUAACUUCGGAGUUCUGAUGGGAUCCGGUGCUUUAGUGCUGGUAUGAUCGCAUCCGACAUACCGUGCGUUCUCCUCCCCUUUAUGCCCGCGCCUCCGUGUACGGCCCGCCCAUAGCUCCUUCGACGGCGCCGCCUAGGAACGCGGAGAAAAUAUGACAAAGGAACGGCCAAAAAUAAAAAGAAAGACCUUUCUUUUGAAAAAACAAACAAAUAAAAGGAAUGCAACACGAGGACUUCCCAGGAGGUCACCCAUCCUAGUACUACUCUCGCCCAAGCACGCUUAACUUCAGAGUUCUGAUGGGAUCCGGUGCUUUAGUGCUGGUAUGAUCGCAUCCGACAUACCGUGCGUUCUCCUCCCCUUUAUGCCCGCGCCUCCGUGUACGGCCCGCCCAUAGCUCCUUCGACGGCGCCGCCUAGGAACGCGGAGAAAAUAUGACAAAGGAACGGCCAAAAAUAAAAAGAAAGACCUUUCUUUUGAAAAAACAAACAAAUAAAAGGAAUGCAACACGAGGACUUCCCAGGAGGUCACCCAUCCUAGUACUACUCUCGCCCAAGCACGCUUAACUUCGGAGUUCUGAUGAGAUCCGGUGCUUUAGUGCUGGUAUGAUCGCAUUCGACAUACCGUGCGUUCUCCUCCCCUUUAUGCCCGCGCCUCCAUGUACGGCCCGCCCAUAGCUCCUUCGACGGCGCCGCCUAGGAACGCGGAGAAAAUAUGACAAAGGAACGGCCACGAAUAAAAAGAGAGACCUUUCUUUUGAAAAAACAAACGCCUCCGUGUACGGCCCGCCCAUAGCUCCUUCGACGGCGCCGCCUAGGAACGCGGAGAAAAUAUGACAAAGGAACGGCCAAAAAUAAAAAGAAAGACCUUUCUUUUGAAAAAACAAACAAAAAAAAGGAAUGCAACACGAGGACUUCCCAGGAGGUCACCCAUCCUAGUACUACUCUCGCCCAAGCACGCUUAACUUCGGAGUUCUGAUGGGAUCCGGUGCUUUAGUGCUGGUAUGAUCGCAUCCGACAUACCGUGCGUUCUCCUCCCCUUUAUGCCCGCGCCUCCGUGUACGGCCCGCCCAUAGCUCCUUCGACGGCGCCGCCUAGGAACGCGGAGAAAAUAUGACAAAGGAACGGCCAAAAAUAAAAAGAAAGACCUUUCUUUUGAAAAAACAAACAAAUAAAAGGAAUGCAACACGAGGACUUCCCAGGAGGUCACCCAUCCUAGUACUACUCUCGCCCAAGCACGCUUAACUUCGGAGUUCUGAUGGGAUCCGGUGCUUUAGUGCUGGUAUGAUCGCAUCCGACAUACCGUGCGUUCUCCUCCCCUUUAUGCCCGCGCCUCCGUGUACGGCCCGCCCAUAGCUCCUUCGACGGCGCCGCCUAGGAACGCGGAGAAAAUAUGACAAAGGAACGGCCAAAAAUAAAAAGAAAGACCUUUCUUUUGAAAAAACAAACAAAAAAAAGGAAUGCAACACGAGGACUUCCCAGGAGGUCACCCAUCCUAGUACUACUCUCGCCCAAGCACGCUUAACUUCGGAGUUCUGAUGGGAUCCGGUGCUUUAAUGCUGGUAUGAUCGCAUCCGACAUACCGUGCGUUCUCCUCCCCUUUAUGCCCGCGCCUCCGUGUACGGCCCGCCCAUAGCUCCUUCGACGGCGCCGCCUAGGAACGCGGAGAAAAUAUGACAAAGGAACGGCCAAAAAUAAAAAGAAAGACCUUUCUUUUGAAAAAACAAACAAAAAAAAGGAAUGCAACACGAGGACUUCCCAGGAGGUCACCCAUCCUAGUACUACUUUCGCCCAAGCACGCUUAACUUCGGAGUUCCGAUGGGAUCCGGUGCUUUAGUCCUGGUAUGAUCGCAUCCGACAUACCGUGCGUUCUCCUCCCCUUGAGGCCCGCGCCUCCGUGUACGGCCCGCCCAUAGCUCCUUCGACGGCGCCGCCUAGGAACGCGGAGAAAAUAUGACAAAGGAACGGCCCACAACUAGAAAGAAAGACCUUUCUUUUGAAAAGACAGACAAACAAAAGGAAUGCAACACGAGGACUUCCCAGGAGGUCACCCAUCCUAGUACUACUCUCGCCCAAGCACGCUUAACUUCGGAGUUCUGAUGGGAUCCGGUGCUUUAGUGCUGGUAUGAUCGCAUCCG